CCAUAUCGAGUUCUGAAAGCUGUUUUUGAAAUAUCCUCCUCCUUGAUCUUCAACUGAUAGUAACCUGACCUCAGGUCAAUCUUAGAGAAUACUUGUGCACCCUGCAGUUGAUCAAACAAAUCAUCAAUUCUAGGUAUUGGAUACUUGUUUUUUAUGGUCACCUGAUUCAACUGUCUAUAAUCAAUACAAAGCCUCAAUGUUCCAUCCUUCUUCUUCACUAAUAGUACCGGAGCACCCCAUGGGGAUACACUGGGUCGUAUGAAACCCUUAUCUAAUAAUUCUUGUAUUUGCUUCUUUAACUCCUCUAGCUCGAGUGGUGCCAUUCUGUAGGGAGGCUUAGAUAUUGGGGUUGUACUGGGGACUAGAUCAAUAGCAAAUUCACCCUCUCUAUUUAGAGGUAAACCAGGCAAGUCAUCUGGGAAUACAUCAGGGAAUUCUUUGACCACUACCAUUUCAUCUAGGUGGGUUUCCUGAUUUGAAUGCUCCUUUACACACACCAUAUAACAAAAACAACCUUUCUGCAUAAGACGAUAAACUUGAAGUGCUGAUAUCAAGCAAGGAGGCAAAUCAUGCCUAAUUCCCUCAAAGAAAAAUAUAGGCUGAUCUGGUAUGCAGAAAGUAAUUAUUUUUUUGUAACAAUCAAUACUAGCGUGAUGAGAAGAUAACCAAUCCAUGCCAAGUAUAAUAUCAAAGCCCUGGAUCUCUAGGAGAAUCAAAUCAGCAAGGAAUUCGUGGUCUCCUAUAGAGAUCAAACAAGAUGGGUAGACCAAGUUUGUUGCCAAUGAAUCUCCAACAGCAGUUGUUACAUAUAACAUAUAAUCCAGGGGUUUAGGUAGAAUAUCCAAGUGACAAGCAAAGUAUUGUGAAACAAACGAUAAGUUGGAGCCGGGAUCAAACAAAACUUUUGCAUUUCUUUUAGAAACAUGAAGAAUACCUUCCACCACUGAUUUAGAAGCUUUAGAAUCUUGUUCAGUGAUAGCGUAUACUCUAGCAUGGGCUGAGGGUCUAGGAGAUAGUGGCUCUUUCUUCCUUUUCAGUGGGCAAUCUCUUAAUUGAUGAUCUAGCUUUCCACAACCAAAACAUGCUCCAGUCACCCGAAAACACUGACUUGUUUCAUGAUUUAAUCCACAUUUUGCACAUAACUGAGUCCUCCCCAAUGGUUUCCUUUUCUCAAAUCCAGAUGUCUUAAACCUCUUGUUACUAUCUUCAUAUUCAUUUUCUCUCCUGCUUGUGCUAGUAAAUUUGUCCCUUUUGUUCUUGCCAAUGAUUUCUUGAAUUUCCUCCAUGUCUCUUUCAAUUUUCAAAGCUCUUUCUACCGUAUCAGCAUAUGUUUGUAAUUUUAAAGCUGACAUUCGGCUUCUUAUUGCUGGCCGUAAUCCCCUUUCAAACCUUCUUGCCUUUCUAGAUUCAUCAUCAGUCAUAUGUGUGGCAAACCUGGAGAGCUCAGUGAAUUUAGAUUCAUACUUUGUAAUCGUCAUACUUCCGUGGAUAAGAUUCAAGAACUCCAAUUUUUUUGCUCUCUCAUACAAUCUGGAAAAUAUUUAUCGUUAAACUUUUCUUGGAAUAACUUCCAUGUCAUUGGCUCAUGUUUGAUUUCAGACAUCCUCUUAAUCAUUCUUCACCAGUGUUCAGCUUCUCCUUCCAGCAUAAAGGUGGCAAGAAAAACCUUUCGAUCAUCAGGGUAAUUUAAAGCAUCAAAUAUUUUCUCUAUCUGCAUCAUCCAUCAUUCUGCCACCAUUGGAUCAGACUCACCACUAAAACUGGGAGGACUAAGCUUCUUCAACUAUCCAAUUCCCAACCCCGUCUGGUUUGAUGUCUCUGUUCCAUCAUUACUUCCUUGUUGGAUAGGUUGUUGUUGUUGUUGCAUCACUUGUGCCAUAGUCUCCAAAGUCCGCAUGAUACCACUCAAUUGAUCCGCAGUAGAUGCAACAGGGGAACCAGAUGAUCUCGUCAUCCUCGCUUCCUAAAACAUCAAAAGAACAUUUUCUUUGAUCAAUCUCUAAAUGAUAGUCAAUAAACCUCAAAAAAAGAUAAUAUUCUUAGUGAUUCUCAAAUCAUGCUCUGAUACCACCUCUGUCACGCCCCUCAAAAUAUCGACAAUAUUUAAAAUUUUCAUCAUAACUAACCCAGGAUCCAAACACACAUUUGAGGUCACUAAGAAAACAUUCAUAUCAAAAUUUCACCUCUAUAGACUACAAAUUCAUCACCCUGUGCAGUUCAUAAACAUACCACACAUCACUCGAUAAUUCAUAUAAUCUGACUCAACUCAUCAAAAUAAUAACCACACAUAAAUUCACAAGUGGGGAAGUCUAUGCAGUCACCAAAUCAACGAUUACCAUAAGUUCAUAUCAUUACAUGAAUUUAACUUAACAUUCCAAAAUCCUAUACAUGAGGGAUCCUUUAACUUACACAAAAUCCACAGGUUUAGAUUCAUCGUCACAUUUCAUUAGAUGCAGAGUAGCUUAUACAACAAAAACAUAUAUGCUAACAAAGAUCUGCCCAAAAUCUUCUAAACUUUCCACCGCCUCAGCCCAAUCUUAACAUUUAAGCAAGCAAUAUGCUAUCCUGAAAAAUUUAUCAACAAACGGGGUGAGCAUAAAGAGCUCAGCAAGUGACUAACAUAUCCAUAUCAAAAUAGUACAAUUUCCAAAGAGAUACAGUUUCAAAAUACAAGGAAGAAUAUGCGAUUUCGUAGACAUAAUAUCAUUAGGAGCAGAAACACAAUUGUCCUUUCAAUCUUACAUAUUUGGUUCCUGACAGAUGGGGCAUAGAGUAAUUGGAGCAUAUCAGAAACAAAGGAAACAUAUCGGAGCUUUAAAAUGGCAUAUAAAAUGUUCCGAAGCAUAUCAACGACAUAUGGAACAUUUCGAAGCAAAAUCAACAAUGAA
rnacentral:lncRNA from 1 species